UACAGAGGGGGCCAGCGUUAUUCGGAAUUAUUGGGCGUAAAGGGCGCGUAGGCGGCCAUGCGUGUCUUCCGGUGAAAUCCCUCGGCUUAACUGAGGACGUGCGGAAGAAACUGCAAGGCUUGAGUCCGGGGAGAGGGGGGUGGAAUUCCCAGUGUAGCGGUGAAAUGCGUAGAUAUUGGGAGGAACACCGGUGGCGAAGGCGGCCCCCUGG
rnacentral:rRNA from 1 species